UUCGGGAUCUACUGUCUACUCGCUGCCCGU
rnacentral:piRNA from 1 species